rnacentral:rRNA from 1 species
GGGAACGUACCCUUUUCUACGGAAUAACCCAGGGAAACUUGGACUAAUACCGUAUGUGCCCUUCGGGGGAAAGAUUUAUCGGAAAAGGAUCGGCCCGCGUUGGAUUAGCUAGUUGGUGGGGUAAAGGCCUACCAAGGCGACGAUCCAUAGCUGGUCUGAGAGGAUGAUCAGCCACAUUGGGACUGAGACACGGCCCAAACUCCUACGGGAGGCAGCAGUGGGGAAUAUUGGACAAUGGGCGCAAGCCUGAUCCAGCCAUGCCGCGUGAGUGAUGAAGGCCUUAGGGUUGUAAAGCUCUUUCACCAGAGAAGAUAAUGACGGUAUCCGGAGAAGAAGCCCCGGCUAACUUCGUGCCAGCAGCCGCGGUAAUACGAAGGGGGCUAGCGUUGUUCGGAUUUACUGGGCGUAAAGCGCACGUAGGCGGAUCGAUCAGUCAGGGGUGAAAUCCCAGAGCUCAACUCUGGAACUGCCUUUGAUACUGUCGAUCUGGAGUAUGGAAGAGGUGAGUGGAAUUCCGAGU